rnacentral:rRNA from 1 species
AUUGAACGCUGGCGGCAGGCUUAACACAUGCAAGUCGAGCGGAGAGAGGUAGCUUGCUACUGAUCUUAGCGGCGGACGGGUGAGUAAUGCUUAGGAAUCUGCCUAUUAGUGGGGGACAACAUUUCGAAAGGAAUGCUAAUACCGCAUACGUCCUACGGGAGAAAGCAGGGGAUCUUCGGACCUUGCACUAAUAGAUGAGCCUAAGUCGGAUUAGCUAGUUGGUGGGGUAAAGGCCUACCAAGGCGACGAUCUGUAGCGGGUCUGAGAGGAUGAUGCGCCACACUGGGACUGAGACACGGCCCAGACUCCUACGGGAGGCAGCAGUGGGGAAUAUUGGACAAUGUGCGCAAGCCUGAUCCAGCCAUGCCGCGUGUGUGAAGAAGGCCUUAUGGUUGUAAAGCACUUUAAGCGAGGAGGAGGCUACUUUAGAUAAUACCUAGAGAUAGUGGACGUUACUCGCAGAAUAAGCACCGGCUAACUCUGUGCCAGCCGCCGCCGUAAAAC